AGGCUGAGGGACUGAAAGCCUGCAGUUGAUUCCUGACUGAAGACUGAAUUCCAUUACUGCUUCAGAGGAGUUGGAUAAGGAAACAAAGUCACUGGAGAUCAAAUGUGGAAGUGAGGCUGGUCACCAGGCUGAAGGGUUGAAAACCUGAAGAUGAUUCCCAACUGUCAGGCCACAGGUGGUUCAGCUGGAGGAUGCGAGAGUUCGAGGUCAAACGGGAUGUGUGAACCAUUGUGAACAUGAUGGCCGACCUGCAGCCUGCCAGCAGAAGUUGUUUGGUGUGUGCAAGACCUGAGGAUACACAGCCUGGAUCGAACCAGAACCCUGGAGGGACUCCGCUCCGCCUGACGCUGCCAGAAUAUAGAGGGAAAACAAAUCCCUCCUCCUUUCUUGACCUGGCAGAUGGCCGAGCUGUUGACCUGGACGAUUAGAUCAGAGGUGAUGAAGACGAUCGGGAGGAACUCUGGAAGUUCAGG